UACAGAGGGGGCAAGCGUUAUUCGGAAUUAUUGGGCGUAAAGGGCGCGUAGGCGGCUUUUCAAGUGACGGGUGAAAUCCCUCGGCUUAACCGAGGAACUGCCUGUCAGACUGGAAGGCUUGAGACCGGGAGAGGUGAGUGGAAUUCCCAGUGUAGCGGUGAAAUGCGUAGAUAUUGGGAGGAACACCAGUGGCGAAGGCGGCUCACUGGACCGGAACUGACGCUGAGGUGCGAAAGCGUGGGGAGCAAACAGG
rnacentral:rRNA from 1 species